rnacentral:rRNA from 1 species
UACGUAGGGUGCGAGCGUUAAUCGGAAUUACUGGGCGUAAAGCGUGCGCAGGCGGUUCGCUAAGACCGUUGUGAAAUCCCCGGGCUUAACCUGGGAACUGCAUUGGUGACUGGCGGGCUAGAGUAUGGCAGAGGGGGGUAGAAUUCCACGUGUAGCAGUGAAAUGCGUAGAGAUGUGGAGGAAUACCGAUGGCGAAGGCAGCCCCCUGGGCCAAUACUGACGCUCAUGCACGAAAGCGUGGGGAGCAAACAGG